AUGUGGUUUAAUUCGAAGCAACGCGAAGAACCUUACCAGGUCUUGACAUCCUUUGACCACUCUGGAGACAGAGCUUUCCCUGCGGGGACAAAGUGACAGGUGGUGCAUGGUUGUCGUCAGCUCGUGUCGUGAGAUGUUGGGUUAAGUCCCGCAACGAGCGCAACCCUUGAUUUUAGUUGCCAGCAUUUAGUUGGGCACUCUAAAGUGAC
rnacentral:rRNA from 1 species